rnacentral:rRNA from 1 species
CUAGCCGUAAACGAUGGACACUAGACGUUGGCCGUAUCGACCCGGUCAGUGUCGGAGCUAACGCGUUAAGUGUCCCGCCUGGGGAGUACGCACGCAAGUGUGAAACUCAAAGGAAUUGACGGGGGCCCGCACAAGCGGUGGAGCAUGUGGUUUAAUUCGAUGCAACGCGAAGAACCUUACCAGGGCUUGACAUGCCGCGAACCCUGCGGAAACGUGGGGGUGCCUUCGGGAGCGCGGACACAGGUGGUGCAUGGCCGUCGUCAGCUCGUGUCGUGAGAUGUUGGGUUAAGUCCCGCAACGAGCGCAACCCUUGUUCCUAGUUGCCAGCAUUGAGUUGGGCACUCUAGGGAGACUGCCGGUGACAAACCGGAGGAAGGUGAGGAUGACGUCAAGUCAGCAUGCCCCUUACGCUCUGGGCUACACACGUGCUACAAUGGCGCGGACAAAGGGUCGCGAGCGCGCGAGCGUGAGCCAAUCCCAAAAACCGCGUCUCAGUUCAGAUCGCAGGCUGCAACUCGCCUGCGUGAAGGCGGAAUCGCUAGUAAUCGCAGAUCAGCAUGCUGCGGUGAAUACGUUCCCGGGCCUUGUACACACCGCCCGUCACACCAUGGGAGCUGGCCAUGCCCGAAGUCGGAGCACCCGCCGAAGGCAGGGCUGGUGACUGGGGUGAAGUCGUAACAAGGUAGCCGUACCGGAAGGUGCGGCUGGAUCACCUCCUUU